AAAAAUAGGAAAGUGGCGGUGACACUGCGUAAUUCUCUUGAAGUUUACAAGGGUAACACAUCAUUUGUAAUCCAUAAUCUCAUUUUAGCUGGGGUAGAGCAGAUUAUGAGAUUAUAAUAUAUUAUAAAAUCUACAAUAUAAACUGUCCUGUUUGGAAAUACAAUAGAUUAUAAAAACCAGAUUAUAUAAUCUGGGUGGUUCCAAACAGGACCUAAAGAGAAGGUAAGUUUGAGCAAAAGCCCAUUCAAACCUGCAACAUUUAUGUUAAACCUUGUUAGUUUGAUGUAAGCCCAUUAGUUUGAUGUAACAAGUAUAUAUUUCUGUCUUGGCAUGUACUUUAUAUUAAAUUAAGAUGAAUGAGCAGCAACCACUCUUCGUCUUGAGUACAAGAAUGGAAUCAUUUCUUCUGAAGGAAAUACAAAAAAAUGGUGUGCACGAGCUUACUUGAGAACAACAUCUCUCGUAUCAUCUUCACUGAGAAUAGUCAUCUAUUGAGCUUC
rnacentral:lncRNA from 1 species